rnacentral:rRNA from 1 species
GGCUUGGCCGCAAGCCCUAUACAUGCAAGUCGAGCGGAAACGAGUUAACUGACCCUUCGGGUGACGUUAACGGCGUCGAGCGGCGGACGGGUGAGUAAUGCCUGGGAAAUUGCCCUGAUGUGGGGGAUAACCAUUGGAAACGAUGGCUAAUACCGCAUAAUGCCUUCGGGCCAAAGAGGGGGACCUUCGGGCCUCUCGCGUCAGGAUAUGCCCAGGUGGGAUUAGCUAGUUGGUGAGGUAAUGGCUCACCAAGGCGACGAUCCCUAGCUGGUCUGAGAGGAUGAUCAGCCACACUGGAACUGAGACACGGUCCAGACUCCUACGGGAGGCAGCAGUGGGGAAUAUUGCACAAUGGGCGCAAGCCUGAUGCAGCCAUGCCGCGUGUGUGAAGAAGGCCUUCGGGUUGUAAAGCACUUUCAGCAGUGAGGAAGGCGGGUACGUUAAUAGCGUGCUCGUUUGACGUUAGCUGCAGAAGAAGCACCGGCUAACUCCGUGCCAGCAGCCGCGGUAAUACGGAGGGUGCGAGCGUUAAUCGGAAUUACUGGGCGUAAAGCGCAUGCAGGUGGUUCGUUAAGUCAGAUGUGAAAGCCCGGGGCUCAACCUCGGAACUGCAUUUGAAACUGGCGGACUAGAGUACUGUAGAGGGGGGUAGAAUUUCAGGUGUAGCGGUGAAAUGCGUAGAGAUCUGAAGGAAUACCGGUGGCGAAGGCGGCCCCCUGGACAGAUACUGACACUCAGAUGCGAAAGCGUGGGGGAGCAAACAGGAUUAGAUACCCUGGUAGUCCACGCCGUAAACGAUGUCUACUUGGAGGUUGUGGCCUUGAGCCGUGGCUUUCGGAGCUAACGCGUUAAGUAGACCGCCUGGGGAGUACGGUCGCAAGAUUAAAACUCAAAUGAAUUUGACGGGGGCUCGCACAAGCGGGUGGAGCAUGUGGUUUAAUUUCGAUGCAACGCGAAGAACCCUUACCUACUCUUGACAUCCAGAGAAGCCCAGCGGGAGACGCAGUGGUGCCUUCGGAAGCUCUGAGACAGGUGCUGCAUGGUGUCGUCAGCUUCGUGUUGUGAAUGGUUGGCUAAAGUUCCCGCACGAGCGCAACCUUAAUCUGAGCAGCGAGUAAUGUCGGUACUUUCAGAACUGCGGUGAAUACGGCAGUAAGGUGGGGUACGUAACGU